GAUGAACGCUGGCGGCGUGCCUCAAACAUGCAAGUCGAGCGAGGCUAUGAAUUACCGCAAGGUAAGGCAUAGCCUAGCGGCGAACGGGUGAGUAACACGUGGGUAACCUACCUGGAAGACAGGGAUAACGAUUCGAAAGGGUCGCUAAUACCUGAUAAUAUCCAUCUGCCGGAUGGCGGAGGGAAGAAAGGGGAAACCCGCUUUCAGAUGGGCCCGCGUCCCAUCAGCUAGUUGGUAAGGUAAAGGCUUACCAAGGCGACGACGGGUAGCCGGUCUGAGAGGAUGUACGGCCACACUGGGACUGAGAUACGGCCCAGACUCCUACGGGAGGCAGCAGUUGGGAAUCUUAGGCAAUGGACGAAAGUCUGACCUAGCGACGCCGCGUGAGGGAAGAAGGCCUUCGGGUUGUAAACCUCUGUCAUGGGGAAGAAGGAAGUAGACGGUACCCCAACGAGGAAGCCCUGCUAACUACGUG
rnacentral:rRNA from 1 species